rnacentral:rRNA from 1 species
GUGGGGAAUUUUGGACAAUGGGGGCAACCCUGAUCCAGCCAUUCCGCGUGAGUGAAGAAGGCCUUCGGGUUGUAAAGCUCUUUCAGCAGGAACGAAACGGUGGCUACUAAUACUAGCUACUAAUGACGGUACCUGAAGAAGAAGCACCGGCUAACUACGUGCCAGCAGCCGCGGUAAUACGUAGGGUGCGAGCGUUAAUCGGAAUUACUGGGCGUAAAGCGUGCGCAGGCGGUUCCAUAAGACAGAUGUGAAAUCCCCGGGCUUAACCUGGGAACUGCGUUUGUGACUGUGGGACUGGAGUGUGGCAGAGGGGGGUGGAAUUCCACGUGUAGCAGUGAAAUGCGUAGAGAUGUGGAGGAACACCGAUGGCGAAGGCAGCCCCCUGGGUCAACACUGACGCUCAUGCACGAAAGCGUGGGGAGCAAACAGGAUUAGAAACCCUAGUAGUCC